rnacentral:rRNA from 1 species
UACAGAGGGGGCAAGCGUUGUUCGGAAUUACUGGGCGUAAAGGGCGCGUAGGCGGCCUGUUAAGUCGAACGUGAAAUCCCUGGGCUCAACCCAGGAACUGCGUCCGAUACUGGCAGGCUUGAAUUCGGGAGAGGGAUGCGGAAUUCCAGGUGUAGCGGUGAAAUGCGUAGAUAUCUGGAGGAACACCGGUGGCGAAGGCGGCAUCCUGGACCGGCAUUGACGCUGAGGCGCGAAAGCCAGGGGAGCAAACGGG